UACGUAGGGGGCAAGCGUUGUCCGGAUUUAUUGGGCGUAAAGAGCGUGUAGGCGGCCAUGUAGGUCCGUUGUGAAAACUCGAGGCUCAACCUCGAGACGCCGAUGGAAACCAUGUGGCUAGAGUCCGGAAGAGGAGAGUGGAAUUCCUGGUGUAGCGGUGAAAUGCGCAGAUAUCAGGAAGAACACCCGUGGCUAAGGCGGCUCUCUAGUACGGUACUGACGCUGAGACGCGAAAGCGUGGGGAGCAAACGGG
rnacentral:rRNA from 1 species